rnacentral:rRNA from 1 species
GGCCCACCAAGACUGUGAUCCUUAGGGGUUCUGAGAGGAAGGUCCCCCACACUGGCACUGAGAUACGGGCCAGACUCCUACGGGAGGCAGCAGUAGGGAAUAUUGGGCAAUGGGCGGGAGCCUGACCCAGCCAUGCCGCGUGCAGGAAGAAGGCGUUAUGCGUUGUAAACUGCUUUUAUACGGGAAGAAAAGGCCCAUGCGUGGGACAUUGCCGGUACCGUAUGAAUAAGCACCGGCUAACUCCGUGCCAGCAGCCGCGGUAAUACGGAGGGUGCAAGCGUUGUCCGGAUUUAUUGGGUUUAAAGGGUGCGUAGGCGGCCCGUUAAGUCAGCGGUGAAAGUCUGUGGCUCAACCAUAGAAGCGCCGUUGAUACUGAUGGGCUUGAGUGCCGUAUGGGUACAUGGAAUUGAUGGUGUAGCGGUGAAAUGCAUAGAUACCAUCAGGAACACCGAUAGCGUAGGCAUUGUACUGUGCGGCAA